UACAGAGGGUGCAAGCGUUACUCGGAUUUACUGGGCGUAAAGCGUGCGUAGGCGGUUCAUUAAGUCGGUUGUGAAAUCCCUGGGCUUAACCUGGGAACUGCAGUCGAUACUGAUGGACUAGAGUACGGUAGAGGGUGGCGGAACUCCGGGUGUAGCGGUGAAAUGCGUAGAUAUCCGGAAGAACACCGAUGGCGAAGGCAACCACCUGGGCCUGUACUGACGCUGAGGUACGAAAGCGUGGGGAGCAAACAGG
rnacentral:rRNA from 1 species